UGGAAUCAGGAAGUACAAUUGACAUAAAUUUAAGAUAGUCUGAUCAAGCCUGCGAAAUUAAAUUGAACUUUCAGAAAAUGGAGCCGGCUAGGCUUAUUUGAGAAACCAAUUCACUUUUAUCAAAAAUAUGAAAUAGAUGCAAGAAAAAGUCACGCACCAAUGGUAAAGGAGGUAAAGAAUGAGGAGAUGAGAAAGGGAAAAAAUAUAAGGAAAGGAGGAACGGAUUAUUACAACAUUUGGAUCUUGUCAAC
rnacentral:lncRNA from 1 species